rnacentral:rRNA from 1 species
GCGCAGCAGUCGCGAAACCUCCGCAAUACACGAAAGUGUGACGGGGCCAUCCCGAGUGCCGUCCGCUGAGGACGGCUUUUCCCCAGUGUACACAGCUGGGGGAAUAAGGAGAGGGCAAGCCUGGUGUCAGCCGCCGCGGUAAUACCAGCUCUCCGAGUGGUGGGGACGCUUAUUGGGCCUAAAGCAUCCGUAGCCGGCUGGGCAAGUCCUCCGUUAAAUCCAACGAUUCAAUCGUUGGGCUGCGGGGGAUACUGUCCAGCUUGGGGGCGGGAGGGGCCGACGGUAUUCCCGGGGUAGGGGUGAAAUCCUAUAAUCCCGGGAGGACCACCAGUGGCGAAGGCUGUCGGCUAGAACGCGCCCGACGGUGAGGGAUGAAAGCUGGGGGAGCGAACCGGAUUAGAUACCCCGGUAGU